GUUUUCUCCUCGCUGGGGCAGAGAGAGAGAGAGAGGGCUGUGUCUGUCAUCUCCCGGAGAUACAACACUAAAUAAAGCGGUGCAUGCCGGGAUACUGAGGAAAACACGCGCACGCACUUCUGAGGGCCUCUGGUGCAGGGUGUCUGGCUAAAAGCCCAGAAUUUGGAAAGGAGAGAGAAAUGAGUAAGAGAGAGAAAAAGAGGUGGUUGAGGGCACAACCAUCUCUUUUCCCAUCAGCGGUAGCCAUAAAAAUUCAGAAAGAGGAAGGAGGACUCCCCAAAUAAAACAUGAAGACCACAGUGAACGUCCAUCCAGAGGAAAUCGGUUUAGUGUUUCAAAAAACACUGAAUCAUACGAGUGAAAUCUUGUGCGACUGACAUCUCUUCUCUUCUCUGAUGACGUUUACUGGCGUGAGGGCGGACAAUCUGUCACUAACAUGAGAUCACAGCAAUAGCAAACCAUCCAAUGAUCCAAUGUCAAAAACAUUCAGAAAUGGCAUUUCUGUGUGCUGAUCAGAGAUGUGGUUAAUUCUGUGGCUUGAUUUGGUACUAUUUUUGUUGGCAAAGCAAAACAAAGUAGCUGGCAAUAUUAUGCCUAAAAAUAAAAAAGUUCUUCAAUAUUAAUGCUUUAUCACAGCAUGAUGAUUUGAACAACAGCACUCUUGUAAUACGGCUAGUAACAUCUAGGAGCAACAUUUUAGGAGCAGUCGUGAAGGGUUUGGGAUGCUUGUUUUCUCAAUUCACAAGCAAACAUGCAAGAACACAAAACCAAAGUCAGCAAUUUCCUUUUACAGACAGAAAGUGUCAUAAAUGUGUGAGUAUGAUUUACUGCUCACUCACCGGGUACAUUCUAAAACGAGAAAUCGCACAUUACGAGUGUAACCAUGAGGAAACACAGUGCUCUGUGAAACAGUGCCCCUAUGCACACCGUACCUGUAAAAAACAACAAGCCUAACAGUGUUUAAGUGUGUGCCAGGCCAGAAAUGAGGUCAGGUGUGGUUUACAGUAGAUUCAGUAGGAGCAGGUUGUGAGGAGGAAUGAGCUUGAACUCAGCAGAAUAGAGUAUGUGUGAACAGGUCCUGUUUGGCUGAUCUGGAUUGGGUGGUGUUCAGGUUUUGGGUUCAGUGCUGGUAAAAAGCUCAGAAACUCAAUCCCACAGAUGCUGAUCGGACGAUGGCAAAUAAACCGACUCUUUAUUGCCCUCAUUCUGACAUGCUGCCAAAACCAACUAUUUUCAGGUAGUAAUAGUCUUACAGUUAUUAUAUUGGAGCUGGCAAGGCCGAUCUCUCCCCAAAAACGUAAAGCUAAUUUAAUUUUCCAAAAGUCUUUUCCCCUUCAUUUAAAAAAGGGAAGUCGUAAUCACUCUGAGAUCGAAUUGAAAGUGUCAUUUAUUUGAUUAGUUCAAAGCUAGCAAGCCUGCCAAUGUAUUCACAGCCACUGAAUAAAAUUACUGAUUUCAGCAAACUGUGGUCCACAAUGAAGUUUCUCAGCCCUCAUUACUGUAGAGUUUGAAAUUGAGAUCCCCAGUUUUUCAAAUGCACCAUAAAAUAACUGACUGCUUAAUAUUGUUUGCUUGCCAAGAGUGAAAUUACUUUCAGAGCCAAAAUGGAGCAUUUGUUUUUCAAAUGAUGGUAAUAGGCAAACACAAAAUCCAUGUGCACCAUUCAAACCUACUCUAUAAAAACA